rnacentral:rRNA from 1 species
CCUACGGGUAGCAGCAGUGGGGGAUAUUGCACAAUGGAGGAAACUCUGAUGCAGCGACGCCGCGUGAGGGAAGACGGUCUUCUGAUUUUAAACCUCUGUCUUUGGGGAAGUAAAUUACGGUACCCAAAGAGGAAGCUCCGUCUCACUACGGCCCAGCAUCCGCGGUAAUACGUAGGGAGCGAGCGUUGUCCGGAAUUACUGGGUGUAAAGUGAGCUUAGGCGGGCGAGAAAGUUGAAUGUUAAAUCUACCGGCUUAACUGGUAGCUGCGUUCAAAACUGUUUGUCUUGAGUGAAGUAGAGGUAGGCGGAAGUCCUAGUGUAGCGGUGAAAUGCGUAGAUAUUAGGAGGAACACCAGUGGCGAAGGCGGCCUGCUGGGCUUUAACUGACGCUGAGGCUCGAAAGCGCGGGGAGCAAACAGGAUUAGAUACCCCAGUAGUC